rnacentral:rRNA from 1 species
UACAGAGGGUGCGAGCGUUGUUCGGAAUUAUUGGGCGUAAAGGGCGCGUAGGCGGUGCGGUAAGUCACCUGUGAAACCUCUGGGCUUAACUCAGAGCCUGCAGGCGAAACUACCGUGCUGGAGUGUGGGAGAGGUGCGUGGAAUUCCCGGUGUAGCGGUGAAAUGCGUAGAUAUCUGGAGGGACACCGGUGGCGAAGGCGGCAUCCUGGACCGACACUGACGCUGAGGAGCGAAAGCCAGGGGAGCAAACGGG